UUUUUGCUAUUUCUUUGGGCCGCUCCCACGGCAUAUGGAGGUGCCCAGGCUAGGGGUCGAAUCGGAGCUGUAGCCACCGGCCUACGCCAGAGCCACAGCAACGCAGGAUCCGAGCCGCGUCUGCAACCUACACCACAGCUCACGGCAACACCGGAUCGUUAACCCACUGAGCAAGGGCAGGGACCGAACCCGCAACCUCAUGGUUCCUAGUCGGAUUCAUUAACCACUGCGCCACGACGGGAACUCCUAUUUUUAUCUUAUUUUUAUUACUACUAUUUACUGUGUUGAUAUUUCUCAACUUGAUCAUUUGCUCCAUCGCCGAACCUUCCUUUGAAUCAUUUUAGCUAUUUCCAAAAAUCAAAUCAGUCUCCAAAAACAUCUGACCCCACUGAGAACACUGAACACACUACAUCCCUCGUUCUCAAAGCUCUUCCCACCAUUCAGAUUUAGGACCUUUUGGCCAAUAUCAAAUCAUUACAGUAAGUGGACAAUAGCCCACGGAAGACGAUGAGCACCCUGUGUGUGUUUUGUCUUCAGUGUGUCUUUUUAAAAUGUGAUUUCUUCAUGUCAGGUCUGUCUGCCUAUGUCUCUUUUCCUGCCUUUUUCCCCUAACAGCUUUACUCAAAUAUGAUUCACAUAUGACACAAUCCACCCAUUUAAAAUGUGCAAGUCAACCUUUUUAACACAGUUCUACACCCGCGGAUUCAACCAACUGUGGAUCAAAAGUAUUUUUGAAAAAACUCCAGAAAAUUCCAAAAGGCAAAACUUGAAUUUGGGAGUUCCUGCUGUGGUGCAGGGGGUUAAGAAUCCAACUGUAGCAGCUUGGUUCACUGCUGAGGCUUGGGUUAAAGGCAUUGCUGCAACUGCGGCAUAAGCCAAAGCUAUGGCUCCGAUUCAAUCCCUGGCCCAGGGACCCUCCAUAUGCCACAGGUGCAGCCAUAAAACAAACGAACAAAAAAACCACUUUGAGGAGUUCCCAUCGUGCAGUCUUAAAAAAAGACAAAAACAAAAAAACAAACAACAACAACAAAAAAAACCACUUUGAAUUUGCCUCACUCUAUUUAUAUUAGGUAUAGGUAAUACCAAAUACGAUUUAUAUAUUCAUAUUGUAUUAGGUGUUAUAAAUAAUCGAGAGGUGAUUUAAAGUAUACAGGAAGAUGUGCAUAGGUUAUAUGCAAACACUCUUUUAUACAAGGGACUUGAGCACCUACAGAUCUUAGUAUCAGAAGGGGGUCCGGGAACCCAUCCCCUGCAAAUACUGAGAGACCACAGGUUUGUGCAACCCUUGCUCCUAUUGUCUUCUUUCAACAUCAAUGGUAACAGACUGUGAGAUCUCACACAUUACUCCUGCUCGAUGACCUUGCGGCUGCAUCCAAAAAGCAAGGUCACGGUUACUGGAGGAUCAUUUAUGACCACUGAAGAUAGCGAAAGGAGUAAGCAACAGUUAUGCUAACGCUUCUUUCCUUUACAUUUCUCUCAGAUCACCAUGCUCAAUUACUGAUUCACCUUUUUACACUGCAAAAAAUAACAAUUAGCAAGACUGGACUGAGUAACAUUUUGCUUGCUCAACGAAAUGCAAAUCCCCCCCACACACACACACAUUUACGCGUUUUAAAAUUCCAUCUCUCUCAAGGUCUGAUUUUUAUUGAUGCCACAAACAGCUCUGAUGAAGUAGUCCCCUCUUCUCCCCACAGGCCAAGUCCCCCACCUGCCCCCCAGACAUACCCGCAGCAUCUGUUUGGGGUCAUUUACGCCCCCAGUGGGAUCUGCUUCCCAGACCCUGAUGUGAGCACCCUGUCCGCGGUGGAGGAGUGCUUUAGAGCAAGUGACAGAUCCAGAGGGAAAAGGAAAGGGCACCACUGUUCGCGACCAUCAAAGCAUCUGACGUCAUAGGGAAUGUCCUUCCAGAUAUUCAUGUCCCACUGUGCACUGGCCUCCCACCAGUCACACACACACACACACACACACACACACACACACACACACACACACACACACAGCCUGGCGUUUAAAGGUUCUUAAAAGAGCUGCCCACUCAAGAAUGACUAUUACAGAGUUCCCACUGUGGCUCAGUGGGUUAAGGACCAGACAUAGAAUCCGUGAGGAUGUGGGUUUGCCCCCUAGCCUGGGAACUUACAUAUGCCACCCACUGCAUGGGGAAGCCCCCUUCUCUAGGAUUCGUAUUUCUUCUAUCUGGGAGGAUCAUUCCUCGACAAAAUAGCCAUCCAUUAGCCACAAGAACCCAGUCACCAGGCCUCUCCAGGCUGCUAAAGAACAAACCCACUUCAUCUGACACCCAGAGCAAGAAAAAGGGGGAGGCUAUUUAGAGCAUCCUUCCUAAAUUGUCCUGGCACCCCAGACUUCAGGCCAGACCCCAGACAAGUGGUGGCUGAUGGCCCAGGGUAGAGGCCAAGGUGGGCAUCCAUUAAUGAGAAAAACUAUAGCCUUUCUUUCUCUUAAAAUAGUCCAUGAGGCCUCCGAGUACCCAUGGGACAUGUCCCCUUGUCACCCCUUCCUAUUUGAGGGCUUCCAUGGUGCCCCACAUACUUCUCUGGCAUCUUGGUGGUUUUUCCCCUGUGGAGUGGGGCCUCUUUAGUCAUCAUGUUCUGGGUUUCUAUUUAUUCUUCUCCAACACUCAGGCCUGAAAGUAGCUCAAGAGUGAAAAAAAAAAUUUGGAGAGAGAGGCAUUUUUGUCAUUCUUGGCAUGUGUCAAAGUCAUGUUGGAAAAAGAAAUCUGGUCGAUUUUUAGAGUUGCUGAGAGGCACUGAGUGACUGCACUAAAGAUACAUUUUGGUGAAAAAAAGAGGAGUGUGUUUACCGAGCCCCCCUGUCUUCUGGGGGACGUUCACGCCAGUGGGGGUGGAGAGGAUGGACCAGGGGAGGGAGGCCCGGGCUGCCUCUCCUGGUGCCUGGUAGGGCCGCAGAGGUGGCCCACAGCUGCUUCUCUUGCUCAGUGUGUCCC
rnacentral:lncRNA from 1 species